rnacentral:lncRNA from 1 species
AAUGAUCCAAAAUAUCCGGCAAUGCUGGAUCACAAGGAAACCUCAAACCAGCAGUGAAAAGGUCUCUGAAAAUGACAGCUUCGCCAUACUUUGGCAUCGGGAUGGCCUCAUCUUCGGGCGCUCUCCCAACGCCCUUUGGAAAAAAAUCCCUUAUCAAUGUACAAUUUUAUGCACUUGUCAGUGACCAGCGAUCGCCCGAAGUGCAUCGUCAGAAUGCAACCUCCUUGCCCGACACAAGCUCG